rnacentral:tRNA from 1 species
GCUUAGUUGGUACUUUGGUAGUGCGUCUGCCUUGUAAGCGCUAGGCCGCGGGUUCGAUUCCCGCCCGGGGCG